CACGUAGGGGACGAGCGUUGUCCGGAUUCAUUGGGCGUAAAGCGCGCGUAGGCGGCUCGGAAAGUCGGUCGUGAAAUGCCGGGGCUCAACCCCGGGACUGCGUCCGAUACUCUCGAGCUGGAGGCAGGUAGGGGAGAUCGGAAUUCCUGGUGUAGCGGUGAAAUGACGUAGAUAUCUGGAGGAACACCGGUGGCGAAGGCAGCCUCCUGGGCCAGCACUGACGCUCAUGCACGAAAGCGUGGGGAGCAAACAGG
rnacentral:rRNA from 1 species